rnacentral:rRNA from 1 species
UACGUAGGGGGCAAGCGUUGUCCGGAAUUAUUGGGCGUAAAGAGCGUGUAGGCGGCCAGAUAAGUCCGCUGUGAAAUCUCGAGGCUCAACUUCGAGCUGUCGGUGGAAACUAUCUGGCUAGAGUCCGGAAGAGGAGAAUGGAAUUCCUGGUGUAGCGGUGAAAUGCGCAGAUAUCAGGAAGAACACCAGUGGCGAAGGCGGCUCACUGGCCCGGUACUGACGCUGAGGUGCGAAAGCGUGGGGAGCAAACAGG